GCUCUCUGGUCUCUGGAGAUGAGGCGGGAGGACUUGGGGACAGCUGUGGGGACACGGCCCAGAUGCUCUGGUCCCAGCAGAAGUGACUGGCGGGGACCAGGAUGCUGGAGGGUCAGCUCGAGGCCGGGUAGCCCAAGGAGGGCACCCACCCAGAAGACCCGUGCCCGGGAGCUGGGGCUGCCAUGGAGAAGACACCUGCAGCAGCCGAGGUCCCCAGGGAGGACAGCAAUGCCGGGGAGAUGCCGGAGAAGGCACCAGACUUUAAAAACUUCAUUAACGAAAAUCAGAAGGUUGACAUGCCUCACAUCAUCCCAGCAAGCUUCCUGAUUUUUACCCCUUCCUCACAUCAUCCCAGCAAGCUUCCUGAUUUUUAGCUCCUUCCUCACCAGACCCUGUUGGACAGUGCUUGCUCUCAAGAAAGUGCCAUGGGUCCCUGUGGCCAGAGCCAUGCAGUGAAGGGCUGUACCUCUAUCACGAUCCCACUUAUUCUCAGAGCAAGGCUGGAGGCUCUACGGUCCAAUGAAGGAUGCCAGGGGAAGGCUAACAUGUCAGGUUGAAAAUGCAGUGGCUUCCAUAAUUUUUAAACUGUUGACCACACAUCCAUGCCACCAUGGUGUUUGAGACCAGCCUGGCCAACAUGGCAAACCCUCGUCUCUACUAAAAAUUCAAAAAUUAGCCAGGCAUGGUGGCGUGCACCUGUAAUCCCAGCUACUUGGGAUGCUGAGACACCAGAAUUGCUUGAACCUGGGAAGUGGAGGUUGCAUUGAGCUGAAAUUGUGCCACUGCACUCCAGCGUGGUUGACAGAGCAGGACCCUGUCUUAAAAAAAAAAAAAAAAAAAAGAAGGAAAAAGAAUAAAAGAAUGCCAGCCUCUUAUUGCUGUAGUAGUGUUUUAACAAAGAAUGAUAAUUCACUGACCAUCUAUAUCUGGUUAUAUCAUGUAGACUAACUCAUAAUAAACAGUACUCAAUAAGAAUAAAGCUGUGGCCAGGCAUGGUAGCUUAUACCUGUAAUCCCAGCACUUUGGGAGGCCGAGGCAGGUGAAUCACUUGAGCCCAGGAGUUUGGGACAAGUCUGGGCAACAUAGUGAAACCCCAUCUCUACUAAAAAUACCAAAAUUAGCCAAGUGUGGUGGCACACGCCUGUAGUCCCAGCUACAUCAGAAGCUGAGGCAGGAGGAUCACCUGAGCUCAUGAAGUUGAAGCUUCAGUGAAGUGAGAUCAUGCCACUUCACUCCAGCCUGG
rnacentral:lncRNA from 1 species